rnacentral:rRNA from 1 species
AUUGAACGCUGGCGGCAUGCCUUACACAUGCAAGUCGAACGGCAGCACGGGUGCUUGCACCUGGUGGCGAGUGGCGAACGGGUGAGUAAUACAUCGGAACGUACCUUAUCGUGGGGGAUAACGCAGCGAAAGCUGUGCUAAUACCGCAUACGCCCUGAGGGGGAAAGCGGGGGAUCGAAAGACCUCGCGCGAUUAGAGCGGCCGAUGCCUGAUUAGCUUGUUGGUGGGGUAAAAGCCCACCAAGGCGACGAUCAGUAGCUGGUCUGAGAGGACGAUCAGCCACACUGGGACUGAGACACGGCCCAGACGCCUACGGGAGGCAGCAGUGGGGAAUUGUGGACAAUGGGGGCAAACCUGAUCCAGCAAUGCCGCGUGAGUGAAGAAGGCCUUCGGGUUGUAAAGCUCUUUUGUCAGGGAAGAAACACCGGCUCUAACACAGUCCGGGAAUGACGGUACCUGAAGAAUAAGCACCGGCUAACUACGUGCCAGCCGCCGCCGUAA